rnacentral:rRNA from 1 species
UACAGAGGGGGCAAGCGUUGUUCGGAAUUACUGGGCGUAAAGGGCGCGUAGGCGGCCUGUUAAGUCGAACGUGAAAUCCCCGGGCUCAACCCGGGAACUGCAUCCGAUACUGGCAGGCUUGAAUUCGGGAGAGGGAUGCGGAAUUCCAGGUGUAGCGGUGAAAUGCGUAGAGAUGUGGAGGAACACCAGUGGCGAAGGCGACUCUUUGGCCUGUAACUGACGCUGAGGCGCGAAAGCGUGGGGAGCAAACAGG